rnacentral:rRNA from 1 species
CUACGGGGGGCUGCAGUGGGGAAUCUUGCACAAUGGAGGAAACUCUGAUGCAGCGAUGCCGCGUGAGUGAAGAAGGCCCUUGGGUUGUAAAGCUCUUUUGUCGGGAAAGAUAAUGACUGUACCCGAAGAAUAAGGUCCGGCUAACUUCGUGCCAGCAGCCGCGGUAAUACGAAGGGACCUAGCGUAAUUCGGAAUUACUGGGCGUAAAGCGCGCGUAGGCGGUUAAGUAAGUUAAUUGUGAAAGCCCAAAGCUCAACUUUGGAAUUGCAAUUAAAACUACUUAGCUAGAGUUUAUCAGAGGAAAGCGGAAUACAUAGUGUAGAGGUGAAAUUCGUAGAUAUUAUGUAGAACACCAGUUGCGAAGGCGGCUUUCUGGGAUAACACUGGCGCUGAGGUGCGAAAGUAUGGGUAGCGAAGAGGAUUAGAUACCCGGGUAGUC